CCGCGCUAGACGGGGAGGUAGCGGUGCACUGAACCUGCAACCCGCUAUAGCAGGGUUUAAUUCCUACCCUCGGUCUUUGCUUUUCAGUGCUGCCCUGCCUGGAGAAUGUUGAGAGCUCAGUCCUAUGCGGCACAGGACCAUGAACCCCGUCAGGUCCGGGAGGAAGCAGCGGUAAGUGGACACCUGUGGGUGCCAUAGGGGCGCUGGGCUUGAGUUUUCCUUGCAGGUAACGGCUGGGGAGCAGGAACAAAGGUAGGUGCGCGG
rnacentral:SRP_RNA from 1 species